rnacentral:rRNA from 4 species
UAGGUUAACGAGGCGAACCGGGGGAACUGAAACAUCUAAGUACCCCGAGGAAAAGAAAUCAACCGAGAUUCCCCCAGUAGCGGCGAGCGAACGGGGAGCAGCCCAGAGUCUGAAUCAGCUUGUGUGUUAGUGGAACGGUCUGGAAAGUCCGACGGUACAGGGUGAUAGUCCCGUACACCAAAAUGCACAGGUUGUGAACUCGAAGAGUAGGGCGGGACACGUGGUAUCCUGUCUGAAUAUGGGGGGACCAUCCUCCAAGGCUAAAUACUCCUGACUGACCGAUAGUGAACCAGUACCGUGAGGGAAAGGCGAAAAGAACCCCGGCGAGGGGAGUGAAAAAGAACCUGAAACCGUGUAC